CAGGUGAGAGCAGGUGGGCUCCAGGGAGAGCAGGCCUGCUGGGGGUGGGACCCUUAGGUGUUGAUCACCACUGCUGGGGCACACACACACACUCACAUACACACACACACGCAGACACACACACAUUCACACACAGACACACACAGACACAGACACACACACCCACCCACAGACACACAGAGACAGAAACACACACACACACUCACAAGCACUCACACAUUCACAGAGACACACACACACACUCACACAUACUCACACAUAUGCACACACACACUCACAGACACACAUACUCACACAGACACACAGACACACACAGACACACACCCCACACACUCACAUACACAGACACAUACUCACACACACACAUUCACACACACACACUCACACUCACAACACAGUGACACCUUCCUCUACAGGAUACUCCCUGUGCUUUUCAUUCUGUGUCACUCUACUCUAGGGCAAGCUGAGCACCCCCUCUCCUAACAUCCAGAAUCCAAAGUGCUCCACAAUAUGAGACAUUGGAUGGUUCCAGGGGGGUUUGAAUUGGAGAUGGGGAUGCUCAGCUGGUAAAGUGACUCAAAGUUUCUAAAAUAUGAAAACCACUGAAAUAUGAAACCCUCCUGGUCCCCCACAUGUCAGGUAAGGGAAAUGGAAAAACAGGGAGUUCCUGAAACACAGUGUCAGUUCCCUGAAUCUUUUUAGGGGGUCCCUCAUCUCAACAUGUCUUCCACAUGGAUUUAAACUUCCAAAGUCAGAUCUCGCCCUCUACUGCAGGCAGCAGCAUGGACUUUUUCUCACUGGUUUUCUUCCAAAUAUACAAGAUAUUUUAAGUGACUUU
rnacentral:lncRNA from 1 species